rnacentral:sRNA from 1 species
AAGGACAUAUAGCCGAAUCCCGCCGCCCGGCGGGAACCGGGGAACCGCACGGCCCAUGUGGCCAUCCCCUGGGGUGAAUGGGGCACAAGGACGGCGCUGUAGCGCCGCGGAGUGCGCCAAGGCCGUCUCUCAGGCCUAACCCGACAGCUAACCCGGUAGGCGACUGAGAUGAUAU